GACGAACGCUGGCGGCGUGCUUAACACAUGCAAGUCGAACGGAAAGGCCCUGCUUUUGUGUGGUGCUCGAGUGGCGAACGGGUGAGUAACACGUGAGUAACCUGCCCUUGACUUUGGGAUAACUUCAGGAAACUGGGGCUAAUACCGGAUAGGAGCUCCUGCUGCAUGGUGGGGGUUGGAAAGUUUCGGCGGUUGGGGAUGGACUCGCGGCUUAUCAGCUUGUUGGUGGGGUAGUGGCUUACCAAGGCUUUGACGGGUAGCCGGCCUGAGAGGGUGACCGGCGACAUUGGGACUGAGAGACGGCCCAGACUCCUACGGGAGGCAGCAGUGGGGAAUAUUGCACAAUGGGCGGAAGCCUGAUGCAGCAACGCCGCGUGCGGGAUGACGGCCUUCGGGGUGUAAACCGCUUUCGCCUGUGACGAAGCGUGAGUGACGGUAAUGGGUAAAGAAGCACCGGCUAACUACGUG
rnacentral:rRNA from 1 species